AUUGAACGCUGGCGGCAGGCCUAACACAUGCAAGUCGAGCGGAUGAAGGGAGCUUGCUCCUGGAUUCAGCGGCGGACGGGUGAGUAAUGCCUAGGAAUCUGCCUGGUAGUGGGGGAUAACGUCCGGAAACGGGCGCUAAUACCGCAUACGUCCUGAGGGAGAAAGUGGGGGAUCUUCGGACCUCACGCUAUCAGAUGAGCCUAGGUCGGAUUAGCUAGUUGGUGGGGUAAAGGCCUACCAAGGCGACGAUCCGUAACUGGUCUGGGAGGAUGAUCAGUCACACUGGAACUGAGACACGGUCCAGACUCCUACGGGAGGCAGCAGUGGGGAAUAUUGGACAAUGGGCGAAAGCCUGAUCCAGCCAUGCCGCGUGUGUGAAGAAGGUCUUCGGAUUGUAAAGCACAUUAAGUUGGGAGGAAGGGCAGUAAGUUAAUACCUUGCUGUUUUGACGUUACCAACAGAAUAAGCACCGGCUAACUUCGUG
rnacentral:rRNA from 1 species